GGCGCUAUAGCCAAGUGGUUACGGCGACAGAUUAGAAUUCGUGGAAACUUCGUACCUUGGAUAGACAAUCUGUUCCUCUUUGAGGGCGCAGGUUCAAAUCCUGCUGGCGUCG